rnacentral:sRNA from 1 species
UUGUUUGGUUCUUGGUAUUGAUUAACUUAGAUUCAAUUGUGGAGAUGUUAUUUCUAUAAUUUGUGAGUGGUGAGUAAUGUAUAUUGUUGAGAUUGUGUAUAUGUUGAUUGUGGCAGAAAGUAUAUGAUUACAAAGUGAUGAAAGUAUGAUCCAAGUUGUAAAUCAAGUUCCAUCUGUGUAGGAUCUCUUGGUGAGAUCCUUAGUGUUUUAGAAUGAAAGUAGGAGCUCAGUCUUGGGGGUCAUUCUGAAACUCCAAUGGCUAAUCAUACUCAAGUAGAGGGAUUAAUCCAUGUGGUGAGGAGUAGCAGGAGGUCUUAGUCUUGGGGGCUUCCAGUAUGCUUCAAGGCCCGGAACAGACUAACCUCGUGAGUGUGACAGGGUGAAGAACCCAAGUUUCAUAAGUCACCACGAGUGCAGGACCCGCCAUAGCUCGACUAUCAUUCUAAAGUCCGGACGAGUCAAGUCUAGAAGAUAACAUGCUACGAUAGGAAGAUGAGGUUUCUUUGGAGGCAACAUUGGAGAGAAAUGAAGAUGAUGCUGCAGCUUAAACUCA